rnacentral:rRNA from 1 species
UACGUAGGCAGCAAGCGUUGUUCGGAGUUACUGGGCGUAAAGAGUGUGUAGGCUGUUCUCUAAGUUUGGUGUGAAAUCUCCCGGCUUAACUGGGAGGGUGCGCCGGAAAACUGGAGGGCUUGAGUAUGGGAGAGGAAAGCGGAAUUCCUGGUGUAGCGGUGAAAUGCGUAGAUAUCAGGAGGAACACCUGCGGUGUAGACGGCUUUCUGGACCAUCACUGACGCUGAGACACGAAAGCGUGGGGAGCAAACAGG